AUUGAACGCUGGCGGCAGGCCUAACACAUGCAAGUCGAGCGGAUGAAGGGAGCUUGCUCCUGGAUUCAGCGGCGGACGGGUGAGUAAUGCCUAGGAAUCUGCCUGGUAGUGGGGGAUAACAUCCGGAAACGGGCGCUAAUACCGCAUACGUCCUGAGGGAGAAAGUGGGGGAUCUUCGGACCUCACGCUAUCAGAUGAGCCUAGGUCGGAUUAGCUAGUUGGUGGGGUAAAGGCCUACCAAGGCGACGAUCCGUAACUGGUCUGAGAGGAUGAUCAGUCACACUGGAACUGAGACACGGUCCAGACUCCUACGGGAGGCAGCAGUGGGGAAUAUUGGACAAUGGGCGAAAGCCUGAUCCAGCCAUGCCGCGUGUGUGAAGAAGGUCUUCGGAUUGUAAAGCACUUUAAGUUGGGAGGAAGGGCAGUAAGUUAAUACCUUGCUGUUUUGACGUUACCAACAGAAUAAGCACCGACUAACUUCGUG
rnacentral:rRNA from 1 species